UCCUACGGGGGGCAGCAGUGGGGAAUAUUGCACAAUGGGGGAAACCCUGAUGCAGCGAUGCCGCGUGGAGGAAGAAGGUUUUCGGAUUGUAAACUCCUUUUAUCAGGGACGAUAAUGACGGUACCUGAAGAAAAAGCUCCGGCUAACUACGUGCCAGCAGCCGCGGUAAUACGGAGGAUGCGAGCGUUAUCCGGAUUUAUUGGGUUUAAAGGGUGCGCAGGCGGUCUGUUAAGUCAGCGGUCAAAGCCCGGGGCUCAACCCCGGCCCGCCGUUGAAACUGGCAGUCUCGAGUUGGAGAGAAGUAU
rnacentral:rRNA from 1 species